rnacentral:rRNA from 1 species
UACGGGGGGGAGCAAGCGUUGUUCGGAUUUACUGGGCGUAAAGGGCGGGUAGGCGGCCACCGCAAGUCAGUUGUGAAAUCUCUGGGCUUAACCCAGAAAGGUCAACUGAUACUGCGGGGCUAGAGUGCAGAAGGGGCAACUGGAAUUCUCGGUGUAGCGGUGAAAUGCGCAGAUAUCAGGAAGAACACCCGUGGCGAAGGCGGCUCUCUGGGACGGUACUGACGCUGAGACGCGAAAGCGUGGGGAGCGAACAGG